rfam:Rattus norvegicus chromosome 11, whole genome shotgun sequence.
GGGGAUUUAGCUCAGUGGUAGAGCGCUUGCCUAGCAAGCACAAGACCCUGGGUUCGGUCCCCAGCUCUG